GGAGGGCAAGUCUGGUGCCAGCAGCCGCGGUAAUUCCAGCUCCAAUAGCGUAUAUUAAAGUUGUUGCAGUUAAAAAGCUCGUAGUUGAACCUUGGGCCUGGCUGGCCGGUCCGCCUCACCGCGUGCACUGGUUCGGCCGGGCCUUUCCCUCUGGGGAACCCUAUGGUCUUCACUGAUCGUAGCGGGGAACCAGGACUUUUACUGUGAAAAAAUUAGAGUGUUCAAAGCAGGCCUAUGCUCGAAUACAUUAGCAUGGAAUAAUAAAAUAGGACGUGUGGUUCUAUUUUGUUGGUUUCUAGGACCGCCGUAAUGAUUAAUAGGGACAGUCGGGGGCAUCAGUAUUCAAUUGUCAGAGGUGAAAUUCUUGGAUUUAUUGAAGACUAACUACUGCGAAAGCAUUUGCCAAGGAUGUUUUCAUUAAUCAGGAACGAAAGUUAGGGGAUCGAAGACGAUCAGAUACCGUCGUAGUCUUAACCAUAAACUAUGCCGACUAGGGAUCGGACGGUGUUAUUUUUGACCCGUUCGGCGCCUUACGGGAAAC
rnacentral:rRNA from 1 species